AACCAGCCGUUAGUAGAUUCUAUAGACUUGGAUGCAGUGUCAGCCUUACUUGCAAGAACAUCAGCUGAGUUGUUAGCUGUGGAACAAGAAUUAGCACAAGAAGAAGAAGAAUCAGGACAAGAAGAGCAAAGGGGCCCAGAUGGAGACUGGUUAAACAGUUAUUUCCUUUUGCUAUUGGGAACUCAAAGAUGAUGUGUUUACACGGCUUACAAUGAAACCUUUGUAGGCUCAUGUUUUAUUCCAGAAUUAUGGAAUGCACUGCACCUUCAGGAAGCUAUGCUAGGAAAAGUCUUUCCUUGGUCAUUAGAGAGUUAAGGAAGUAAUGGCAAGAUUAUGGGCAAAGUUAAAACAUUAGCCAGAUUCUUUGUUCUUGUUUAGAGUAAUUUUAAAACACUAUUUUCUGAGCCUUUUUUUUUUAGUCUAAACUUGAUUUUGAAAGGUAUGGUAGCUUAUUGUAGAGUUAUAGAUAAUUUUAAAAGUGACUCUAUUUUUCUUUUAACUACCUGGAAGUACCAUUUAGGCUCUAGUAAGACAAAGCAGGUAUUUAAAAAACAACUUCUGAGUACUCAUUUCUCUGUUACCACUCUUACCUUCUUUUUCUGUGUCCUUCCCUGUAUCCAUACCCAAACCUUUAAAAA
rnacentral:sRNA from 1 species